rnacentral:lncRNA from 1 species
ACUACCCCCCACCAGCGCCGCCAGAUCACCCUAGCCCCGUAGCUCCCACCAACCACCCCACGAGCGCUCUCUGGAACACCGAGUCGUCUCCCCUCGCUCGCACCAGCCGCGACACCGUCCCCUGCCCCCCGCUCCUUCUUGCCGCGCCAGCGCUCCCUGCUCCCCUCGCCAGUCGUGCCUCCCCCACCCACCAAGAGCCACACCGCCUCAGGGCCACC